rnacentral:rRNA from 1 species
GAUGAACGCUAGCGGCAGGCUUAAUACAUGCAAGUCGAGGGGCAGCGCAGUGUAGCAAUACAUGGGCGGCGACCGGCAAACGGGUGCGGAACACGUACGCAACCUUCCUUCAAGCGGGGGAUAGCUUUCGGAAACGAAAAUUAAUACCCCAUAGUAAUAUCUGAGGGCAUCUGAGGAUAUUUAAAGAUUUAUCACUUGAAGAUGGGCGUGCGCCUGAUUAGGUAGUUGGCGGGGUAAUGGCCCACCAAGCCUACGAUCAGUAACUGGUGUGAGAGCACGACCAGUCACACGGGCACUGAGACACGGGCCCGACUCCUACGGGAGGCAGCAGUAAGGAAUAUUGGUCAAUGGACGCAAGUCUGAACCAGCCAUGCCGCGUGGAGGAUGAAGGCCCUCUGGGUUGUAAACUUCUUUUAUCGAAGAAGAAACCCCAAAUUCUUUUUGGGUUGACGGUACUCGAU